ACGGCCACAUAACUUUUAAACAACAUAUCUCUUAUGAUCAUUGAAGUUAAGUAACGUUGUGCCUGGUCAGUACCAAGAUGGGUGACCGCUUGCGAAUACCAGGAGCUA